rnacentral:sRNA from 1 species
AACUACACAAAAUCGUGUGGGUGAGAUCCUGCGUUCAGGUUCAAGCCGAGCGAAGCGAGACAGCAACGCGCCAGCGUUGACCCGAAGGGCGAAUCCGAAGGAUGAGUCAUCCCGCACGACCCACCA